AACGAACGUUAGCGGCGCGCUUAACACAUGCAAGUCGAACGAGAAAGGGCUUCGGCCCCGGUACAGUGGCGCACGGGUGAGUAACACGUGGGUAAUCUACCCUCGAGCGGGGGAUAACGUUCCGAAAGGAGCGCUAAUACCGCAUAAGACCACGCUCUCGAAAGGGAGUGAGGUAAAAGUAGGCCUCUGAAUUCACGCUUACACUCGAGGAUGAGCCCGCGGCCCAUCAUGGUAGUUGGUAGGGUAAUGGCCUACCAAGCCGAAGACGGGUAGCUGGUCUUAGAGGAUGAUCAGCCACACUGGAACUGAGACACGGUCCAGACUCCUACGGGAGGCAGCAGUGGGGAAUCUUGCGCAAUGGGCGAGAGCCUGACGCAGCGACGCCGUGUGGGUGAUGAAGGCCUUCGGGUCGUAAAGCUCUGUGGGGAGAGACGAAUAAGACGUGGCUAACAUCCACGGCGAUGACGGUAUCUCCUUAGCAAGCACCGGCUAACUCUGUGCCAGCAGCCGCGGUAACAC
rnacentral:rRNA from 1 species